rfam:Hydrogenophaga sp. A37 NODE_23_length_66302_cov_7.92406_ID_45, whole genome shotgun sequence.
UUCCGUUGAUCGGGAGAGACCGGCCCUGCAACGGGAACCGGCGCCGAAGGAGCAACCGCCCCGGAAACUCUCAGGCAAAAGGACCGAUCGACGCAC